rnacentral:tRNA from 1 species
GAUCGGUUAGUCAAGUGGUAAGACACCAUCCUUUCACGGUGGUAACGCGAGUUCGAAUCUCGUACCGAUCA